rnacentral:rRNA from 1 species
UACGGAGGGAGCUAGCGUUAUUCGGAAUUACUGGGCGUAAAGCGCACGUAGGCGGCUUUGUAAGUAAGAGGUGAAAGCCCAGAGCUCAACUCUGGAAUUGCCUUUUAGACUGCAUCGCUUGAAUCAUGGAGAGGUCAGUGGAAUUCCGAGUGUAGAGGUGAAAUUCGUAGAUAUUCGGAAGAACACCAGUGGCGAAGGCGACUCACUGGACAUGUAUUGACGCUGAGGUGCGAAAGCGUGGGGAGCAAACAGG